rnacentral:misc_RNA from 1 species
CUUAACAUCAACAGCUACAAUCAGACAGGCGUUUCAUCCUCUUCCAAAUACCAAACUGGCAUGGAUUAUUCAUCGUUUUGUUUAAGGGGGUGUUUGGUUUAUAGUCAGGAAAAAAAAAGUAAUGAAGAUACUGUGAGGGUCAUACUGCAACCAUCCUUAUUUCUUACCUGGAGAAGUAUCGAUAGUAACUUGGGUCAACCUUUACUCUGAGAAUCACCGUGUAUGAGCAACAGUCUGAAUCCGGAACGCAGCAGAGCAAGAAGCAGCCGUGCUGCUUCUAUGGCUGCUGCUUGGGGUCACGGUACCCAGCAUCGACCAGGACCUUCUCCUUCUUGGCGAGCUCAACGUCGCGAUCAACCAUCAUCUCAACGAGCUGCUGGAACCCAACCUUGGGCUUCCAUUUGAGCAACUUCCUCGCCUUGGUGGAGUCUCCCUGGAGGCUGUCGACCUCUGCGGGGCGGAAGUACUUCUUGUCAAUGACCACAUGAUCCUUCCAGUUGAGGCCGGCGUAGCCGAAGGCAGCCUGCAAGAACUCCUCGACUGUGUGGGACUCCUCGGUGGCGACGACGUAGUCGGCCGGCUGAUCCUGCUGCAGCAUGAGCCACAUUGCCUCCACGUAGUCCCCCGCGAACCCCCAGUCCCUGGCCGCCGAGAGGUUGCCCAGGAAGACCUUGGUCUGCAGGCCGAGCUUGAUGCGGCCGACGGCGCGCGUGAUCUUGCGCGUCACGAAGUUCUCGCCGCGGCGCGGGGACUCGUGGUUGAAGAGCACGCCGUUGCAGGCGAAGACGCCGUAGGCCUCGCGGUAGUUGACGGUGUACCAGUGCGCGGCGACCUUGGCAGCGGCGUAGGGGGAGCGCGGGUGGAAGGGCGUGUCCUCGCCCUGCGGCGGCGGCGUGGAGCCGAACAUCUCCGAGGAACCAGCCUGGUAGUAGCGAAUGGGCCUGCGCGACAGGCGGACGGCCUCCAGGAGGCGGAGCGCCCCCGUGGCAGUGACGUCGGCGGUGUAGUCGGGGACCUCGAAGGAGACGGCGACGUGCGACUGCGCCGCGAGGUUGUAGACCUCGUCGGGGGAGAUGGCGUCGAGCGCGCGGCGGAGGGAGGAGGAGUCGGACAGGUCGGCGUAGUGGAGCCGCAGCGGGGGCCGCGGGGACGACGGCACCGCGUGUGGGUCGUGGUAGAUGUGGUCCAGCCGCUGCGUGUUGAAGUUGGAGGAGCGGCGCAUGAGGCCGUGCACCUCGUACCCCUUCGACAGGAGCAGCUCCGUGAGGUAGCUCCCGUCCUGCCCCGUGAUGCCCGUGAUCAGCGCCACUUUCCGCGCCGGCGCGAGGGCCCGCGGCACCGGGGCGGUCUCGCCGUCAGUGGCAGUGGCAGUGGCAGUGGUGGAAUGAGCCAUUUGGGAAGCGAAGCGAGCAAGGGGGGAUUGCCUCGUGUCGGGGGGUCAGGUCUGGGAAGCAAAU